UACGAGGGGGGCGAGCGUUGUUCGGAAUUAUUGGGCGUAAAGGGUGCGUAGGCGGUUUGGUAAGUCUUGUGUGAAAUCUACAGGCUCAACUUGUAGUCUGCACGAGAAACUGCCGGGCUUGAGUAUGGGAGAGGUGAGUGGAAUUCCUGGUGUAGCGGUGAAAUGCGUAGAUAUCAAGAGGAACACCUGAGGUGAAGACGGGUUGCUGGGCCGACACUGACGCUGAGUGCGCGAAAGCCAGGGGAGCAAACGGG
rnacentral:rRNA from 1 species